GCAGUCUGCAACUCGAGUGCAUGAAGCUGGAAUCGCUAGUAAUCGCGGAUCAGAAUGCCGCGGUGAAUACGUUCCCGGGUCUUGUACACACCGCCCGUCACACCAUGGGAGUCGGAAAUGCCCGAAGUCUGUGACCCAACCUGAGAGGGAGGGAGCAGCCGAAGGCAGGUCUGAUGACUGGGGUGAAGUCGUAACAAGGUAUC
rnacentral:rRNA from 1 species